rnacentral:rRNA from 1 species
UAGGGAAUCUUCUGCAAUGGACGAAAGUCUGACCGAACAACGCCGCGUGAGUGAAGAAGGUUUUCGGAUCGUAAAACUCUGUUGUUAGAGAAGAACAAGGACGUUAGUAACUGAACGUCCCCUGACGGUAUCUAACCAGAAAGCCACGGCUAACUACGUGCCAGCAGCCGCGGUAAUACGUAGGUGGCAAGCGCUGACCGGAUUCGUUGGACGUAAAGCGAGCGCAGGCGGUUUCUUAAGUCUGAUAUGAAAGCCCCCGGCUCAACCGGGGAGGGUCAUUGGAAACUGGAGUGCUUGAGUGCAGAGGAGGAGGGUGGACUUCCAUAUGUAGCGGUGAAAUACGUAGAUAGAUGGAGGAACGCGAGUGGCGAAGGCGGCUCUCUGGUCUGUAACUGACGCUGAGGCUCGAAAGCGUGGGGAGCAAACAGG